rnacentral:rRNA from 1 species
GACGAACGCUGGCGGCGUGCUUAACACAUGCCAGUCGAACGGAAAGGCCCUGCUUUUGUGGGGUGCUCGAGUGGCGAACGGGUGAGUAACACGUGAGUAACCUGCCCUUGACUUUGGGAUAACUUCAGGAAACUGGGGCUAAUACCGGAUAGGAGCUCCUGCUGCAUGGUGGGGGUUGGAAAGUUUCGGCGGUUGGGGAUGGACUCGCGGCUUAUCAGCUUGUUGGUGGGGUAGUGGCUUACCAAGGCUUUGACGGGUAGCCGGCCUGAGAGGGUGACCGGCCACAUUGGGACUGAGAGACGGCCCAGACUCCUACGGGAGGCAGCAGUGGGGAAUAUUGCACAAUGGGCGGAAGCCUGAUGCAGCAACGCCGCGUGCGGGAUGACGGCCUUCGGGUGGUAAACCGCUUUCGCCUGUGACGAAGCGUGAGUGACGGUAAUGGGUAAAGAAGCACCGGCUAACUACGU